AGAAGAUCUAGUAUGCUUGUGUUGGGAUAGUCAUUCCCCUUUCCUUAAACUCAUUGAAUAUUAUUAAUUUAUAGAUACACAAAUGAGUUGCAAAUAUUAUUUUUCAAUAAAAGAGAGUUUUCAAAGAUAGCGCUGUUAUCAGGAAGUCAAAGGACUAUAAAAUUGGAAGCUCCUCAUUGGUUAUUUGCCUUUCCACCCAGUCAUCUUCCCUUAACCACAUUUCCCCAUCUCAGACUUAAAUGUCUUCUCUUCCACGUGAUAGACCAGCAGAAUAUACAGUGUUGGUAGGCAUGUCUACUGUAUCUAAGAACAUGAAAACGAAAGCCUCCUUUUGAAGAAUUCAGAAUGGUAGGAAAGUUGAACUAAUGAAACGCAACAAUGACGUAACUAAAACAGAAGACAAGCAAGGCCAAGAUAACACACUGGAUAAUUGCAUUGAGAUACAGAUGUAUUCAUCAAGAAGUGUAACUAUGGAACAGGAAGAUGCAGAAAGUAUGCAGAGACAAUGA
rnacentral:lncRNA from 1 species